UACGUAGGCAGCAAGCGUUGUUCGGAGUUACUGGGCGUAAAGGGUGCGUAGGCGGUCCUGUAAGUAUGGUGUGAAAUCUCCCGGCUUAACUGGGAGGGUGCGCUAUAGACUGCGGGACUAGAGGGUGGGAGAGGAAAGUGGAAUUCCUGGUGUAGCGGUGAAAUGCGUAGAUAUCAGGAGGAACACCGGUGGUGUAAACGGCUUUCUGGACCGUAACUGACGCUGAUGCACGAAAGCGUGGGUAGCAAACAGG
rnacentral:rRNA from 1 species